rnacentral:rRNA from 1 species
GACAGAGGGUGCAAACGUUGUUCGGAAUUACUGGGCGUAAAGCGCGUGUAGGCGGCUUCGCAAGUCGGGUGUGAAAUCCCACGGCUCAACCGUGGAAGUGCAUUCGAAACUGCAAGGCUAGAGUCCUGGAGAGGAAGGUGGAAUGCUUGGUGUAGAGGUGAAAUUCGUAGAUAUCAAGCGGAACACCGGUGGCGAAGGCGACCUUCUGGACAGUGACUGACGCUGAGACGCGAAAGCGUGGGGAGCAAACAGG